rnacentral:lncRNA from 1 species
GGGCGGUGGCGGUCGCCUUGGGGCGACCGGGUCCCUGCUCUGCCCGGCACGGCCGGGAGGCCCGACGGUGGCAGCUGCCGCGGGUCCCACAAGUUGUUUUCCUCGUGGCGACCAUUCAGCAAAACGCACGAUCCUUUCUCAAAGAUUUAAAUUUCGCGGAUGAAUUACCAUACACCGGUUGCUUAGCAACUAAAUUCAAGCAGGGCUAAGAAUAUGCAAGCUUUUUGUAUUCUCAUUAAUAAAAAUGCCACUCUGACACAGCAACCCGACUUUGGAUCACUGCAACUUCUGUAAAAGCCGUAGGAGAAUACAAACCGAUCCUGCCAUUUAAUUACAGAUCAAAAUGGCUUGAAACGCGAUGUUUUGUUCAUCUAUCUUCCUAAAAGCGAUGUAAAAAAUAACGGCUUUCAAGAGCAGUAGUAAAUUUUCUUCUUCUUUUUUUAAUGGAGUUGUCUAUCGGGAUUACUGAUAAUUGUCAACUGAAACCUUUUUGAAGCACAGGUUGAAAUAUCCCUUUUCAUCAACAUUUCUGUUCUUUCCCCCAAAACCCCCUCACCCUCUGAUCCUGUUCUUCUUCUUCACCCAAUAACUGUUGUUGUUGUGGUGGUGGUGGUGGUGGUGGAAAUGUCAAGGCCUUGGGAGCCCUAGGGUCUAAAAAGCAGUUAGGAGAGUAAUGGACAAGCCCAGUGGCUGGAGAAAUAGCAAAGGAAACUUCAGAAAGUUUCCUUGGAAGUUUGGGGCAGUUGCUGAAGGCCGAAGUGGCUUAAGUUCCAAGGAUUUGGCCAGAACUUUUGGGGAGGCUUGUGGGGAGUAAGGUAAGAAAAC